UGGAAUUCUGUUGGCUGCUUGCAAGGAAAGGAAGGAAAACAUUCUCCACUCAGUUCCUCAUACCUUCUGAAAAGGAUGAUGAAUGGGCUGGUUCUGCCUAAGGGAGUGUGUUCAAGCACAAGGUAAGCAUUAAAAAUGAAAGCUCCGUGUUUCUGCAGCUGCCCUUUGUGAAACUGGCCUCUCUGAGGAAGAGGCAGAUAUCAGGGGGGUUCCAAAGGAAGCUGGGCCAGUGAAAUAAAGCAGUUUCAUUUGGAUCCAUCAGAGAGAGCCAUUAUCCCUGGAGAACCCCUGGCUUAUGCCAAACCAUCUCAGCUACCUCAGGCACUGGAUUGUGGGCUCAAAGAGGAGCCAGGAGCUUUCCAGCUCUCCAGCCUCCUGCAGGACAGGUCAGCAGCCAGACAAACCCCAGCAGCCAGGAGAACCAGCUGGAAAUCAGUUCCUGGCCACCCAAGAAUCCCUUUCCUGUGGCCCUUGGAGGUGUCAGCUCCAAGGUUCUGGAUCAGCACCUGCCUUCCUCUGGGGCUGAGUCAGAGGCUAAAGAGUUUCAGUCCAGUUUCUAUUUUAGGUUGCUACACGUUGUUGGUUCCUCCUGAGAGGGGCUGGAUCUCGUAGCUGAUAUCUCUGACCUCUCCAGUGACAAUCUGUGGGGUGCAGGGUCAGAGUGAAAACUCAGCAGAGUAAAAAUCCCAAGCUUGGACUGCAGCAAAUGGAUAAAGGCUGAGUAAUGCCAAGUUCCUGAGGGCUGUUAAACCCUUUCCAGCUGGCAGAGAAAUCACAUGCAGGGAUGUGAUAGUGGCUUGGAUUUGGGGCUAUCUGGAUACCUCUGGAGAAUUUGCUGGAAGAAAAAGCCAAUUAGCAAUUGCAGAAAUUGCCAGAAAGGGUUCAACCUCCCCACUGGACCAGAGCAUGCAGGUUCUGCUGUUGAAAACCUGACUGGCAGUGGUGUUUGUGCCAUCCCUGCCCUGCUGCUCCUCUCUGUGCCCUAUUUCAGAGCUGUUUGCCAGCUGCCUCCUCAUGGAGAGCAUUCCCAGCCACGUGAGGCAGGUGACAAAGCCCAGGCAGCUGGUGAUGGAGCAGGGACUGUGGGAACGCUGCUUCCUCCCCAUUUCCAACAGCUGCACCCAAAACAAGAACCUCCAGCACAUGUCAGCAGCUCCAGGCAAAGGCUGGGGAGCUUUGCUGGGGUUGCAGGAGGAAAUAAAUUCCAGUGGAAGCCAAGGCUGGAUUGA
rnacentral:lncRNA from 1 species